UACGAAGGGGGCGAGCGUUGUUCGGAUUCAUUGGGCGUAAAGGGUGCGUAGGCGGCGGGGUAAGUCAGGUGUGAAAUUUCGGAGCUUAACUCCGAAACUGCAUUUGAUACUGCCUUGCUUGAGGACUGGAGAGGAGACUGGAAUUCACGGUGUAGCAGUGAAAUGCGUAGAUAUCGUAAGGAAGACCAGUGGCGAAGGCGGGUCUCUGGACAGUUCCUGACGCUGAGGCACGAAGGCCAGGGGAGCAAACGGG
rnacentral:rRNA from 1 species